GACGAACGCUGGCGGCGUGCUUAACACAUGCAAGUCGAACGGAAAGGCCUGCUUUUCCUUGUGGAUUGCGGGUACUCGGGUGGCUAACGGGUGCGUAACACGCGUGUGAUCUGGCCCCAACUUGGGUAUAAGCCCGGGAAACUGGGUCUAAUUCCCUAUAGAACUGCAGGGUGGUGUCGUUGGUGGAAAACGAUUUGCUAGUUGUUGGGGAUGCGCUCGCGGCCUAUCAGCUUGGUGGUGGGGUAAUUGCCUACCAAGGCGGCGACGGGUAGCCGGCCGGGGAGGGUGGACGGCCACAUUGGGACUGGGACAAGGCCCAGACGCGUACGGGAAGCAGCAGUGGGGAAUAUAGCACAGUGGGCGGAAGGCUGAUGCAGCGACGCAGUGUGGGGGAUGACGGCAUUCGGGUUGUAAACUACUAUCGACCGAGAAGAAGCCAACUGGUUGGAAGGGUGGUGACGGUAGUGGUAGAAGAAGCACCGGCUAACUACGUG
rnacentral:rRNA from 1 species